GACGAACGCUGGCGGCGUGCUUAACACAUGCAAGUCGAACGGAAAGGCCCUGCUUUUGUGGGGUGCUCGAGUGGCGAACGGGUGGGUAACAAGUGAGUAACCUGCCCUCGACUUUGGGAUAACUUCAGGAAACUGGGGCUAAUACCGGAUAGGAGCUCCUGCUGCAUGGUGGGGGUUGGAAAGUUUCGGCGGCUGGGGAUGGUCUCGCGGCUUAUCAGCUUGUUGGUGGGGUAGUGGCUUACCAAGGCUUUGAAGGGUAGCCGGCCUGAGAGGGUGACCGGCCACAUUGGGACUGAGGAACGGCCCAGACUCCUACGGGAGGCAGAAGUGGGGAAUAUUGCACGAUGGGCGGAAGCCUGAUGCAGCAACGCCGCGUGCGGGAUGACGGCCUUCGGGUUGUAAACCGCUUUCGCCUGUGACGAAGCGUGAGUGACGGUAAUGGGUAAAGAAGCACCGGCUAACUACGUG
rnacentral:rRNA from 1 species